CAAGAAGUUUUUCGGGAUUUAGAGUUAGCUAAAAUUUAAGAUGGAUUUUUUGAGAUGUGACAAUUAUAGACUGGUAGAAUUUAUCUGCUGUGAAAUUGACCAGGAUGUAUUUGACUGCUUUGAUCAACUGUCCAUAUAAUCAUUAUGGCUUUGGGUGAAGGCUGUCUGUAAUUGCCAAGUCAACAUUUACCAAGCCAAUAUCUGGUGCCUCUUGC